GAAGAAGAUAAAGGAACAGUUUAUAAUUGCUGAGCUUUCUUCGUUCCUCUUAAACAAGCAAUUAACUACAUCGUUUUGAAAUAACAGAUGCCAAGACUACUGCAGGAGAAUUAAUAAAUAUGACAACUUCCUGGUGAAGAGGAGUCAGAAUUAAGCAACAGCUGUAAAACCUUCAUGUCAAAGUGCACAGAUCCUCCAUGAAUAUUCCAGGGCUCCUUGUUUGUCAGGAAGGCUGUCUCGCUUUCAUCUAUUCAGGCUCCUGAUAGACAACCCUGACACCUGGUCCCCAGGGACACCAUCCACCAAGUCACUGCACUGCUCCUGGAGAGACUUCCUUUACUUUAUCAGCCCAUAAAGGAUUGUCACAGGGUGAAGUCUUGGGAUGCCUCAUCAAAACCAUGCAGAAUUCCCUCCUGUCUGCUGUGGGGAUUUGUGGAAGGUAUUGUAGAGAAGAUGACACUGGCACAAUUCCCAGCAACAUGAGGUGGGGAUACACCCUCUUAAAAUCCUAUUAAUUCAUGGCUGAGGUUCUUAGGUUGCCACUUUCUAUCACAUAAAAUUGGAGGUCAGACGUAGUAUAGACAGAACUAUUGCUGUCAACAUUGUAUUCUCUGUUUUUCUUUUUCAUAGAAAGUACUCAUAGGUCAAUGGUUUAGUGUUUAGCUAUAUCUCUCUUGGAAAAAGCCAUUAAUGGAGUCAUUACUACUAUUAUCAUUAACUCUGUGUAACCCUUUGUAUUUCUUUUUGUUACUUAUUGUAAAAUCAUUUACAUAUUUGUGUCUCUGUCAUUGACACAGCUCCUAUAGUUACCGACACUACAUUUGUUUGCUCUUUGUUUUUUCUCUCUACAGUGGCCUAGUGCUCUUUCGUUGCCAUUGUGCUCACCUAGACAAAGCUAUCAUCUUUACCUUUGUUGCAAUUAACUGUAUACUUUUAUGUACCACUGGUUUUGUAUUUAACUGUGUCACUUUGAUAGACAAAGCCAUUGCGAGUGUCAAUAUUGCAAUUACCAUUGGCUAUGUUCAAACAGCAGGCAAAUGUUAUUCAAAUCCCAUUUCUUUUGCCCAUAUCAGUCUUUCUCAUAGCAGUCUGAACAGUCCUAUUCAUUCUUUUUAUUGCCCUGUCCCCGAAAAAUAUGAUUUGUCAAAGUAUCUGCAGUCAGAACAGUCAUGUUACAUUUUAUCCGACUUUCGCUUCAUUGACGUGAGACAUGUGUCAUAAUUCUGCCCCAGAAGAAGACAAAUGGUAAAUUCAGACAUAAACAAUGGCUUUGAUAUUAGUUAUGGUUUUUACUCCUUUAGCUUGCUCUGUAGUUUUAUGACUUUGUGACAAUAAGUUCAUAAAAAGACAACUUUAAAAUUUACCCAUGGACGGAAACAUCAAUUAUUACUUCUGUCAACAGAGAAGUCUAAUUGCAGUUCCAUUUAGUUAGCCAAAAUGACCACAUAGAAAUAAUGUAUUUUGGUAAAAGCUCAGAAUUUAGCAUCAAGACCAGUUGUGUAAAGGUAGCUUUUGUGUGCUUCUUUUGUAUUUUUUUCCUUUAAAGGUUUUCUUGACCCAGACAGUCUCUGUUUAGCUGUAUUUUUUAUCCGGUAGAGAUGCAGUUAUUAUGACUACCAAUGGUAUCUACUGUCUGUGCUUUUCUGUCCAUUGAAAGUUCUCAAGCUAUAGUUCGUGUCUCUUUGUCAUAAGGGAGUUAUUCCUGGCCACUCAUGCCAGGAAUAACUUGCUUGUUCUGGAUGAGAAAUUAAUGCCAAGUCAAUGGCUCAAUGAAAUUAGUUUAGAGACCGAAGUAAAUCGAAAAGUCUGUAACUGAGUCUUAUACUGUCAUUGUAUAGGAAUUUAUUUUUUCAACAUAUUUUGAUUCCAACUAGGUUUAGUGGCCUUGUAAAGGUCCUUUGGGAGGUAUUUUUGUCAAUUGGCACUAAAUAUUAAACCAAAUUAGAAGUAAAAGGAUGAACAAACAAACUUUGUAUGUGUUUUUUACAUCUUAUAAUACCAGAUUGCAAUGUGUUUAUUAGUGAACUACUAAUUAUAAAACUUGUACUUUGAGUAUAAUAUUUACAUUACUAUAAUAUUCCACAAUUUUUAAAAGACACUCCUAUGUUUAUUCAGGCUGUAUAACAAUCUAUGGUUUGAAUGUAUGUAAACCUAGAGUUUUUGGUGA